UAUUACAUAUAUUUAUUUUUUGACCUGGAGGCUGUUUAGUCUUAAGACACUCUUUUAAAGCUGAUAAAACACCUGUUUUCAAGUUCAAAAGCCAAAGGAUUCCAUUUUUCUUCUCUAAAAACAUUUGGAGUCAAUAACAAGGUCUUGAUGACUUGUUCUUCAAUUUCUAGUGGGUUUUAUUCAUUCUAUCAGGUUUCUGAAAGUUACAGAAAGAACAAGGUUGGGUAGUUGGGAUUAGUGGUGAAAACAACCCAAAACUGUGAAUAAAAUAGAAGCAGAAGAAAUAGGAAAAUGGUUUUAUGUGCUUAGGUAGAAAGAAGCUGCCUCACAGUAUUUUAAGUAACUCACUACCAUCUACACACAUGAUAGAUAAGGGUACUCUAGUAGAGGCAAGGGGCACGGAGGGGAAAGAAUCAUCUUGAAAAAGAAUUCUGAGGUUAAAUGGAUAUGAUGUAAAAUAAAUGUAACAGUAUUUAGGGAAAAGGAAAAGGGAAGAAUCAUAGUUUAUAUUUAAGUAAAUAGUAAAUAGUCCAAGGAAAUACAGAAAGAGGAAAACGAUUGUGACAAGAUUAUACAUUAAGUUUUGCUUGUUUAAUAUCACUUUAUAUUAUUUUUGGUGUUUGCCAAUUGAGAAAGUAUUAAAAAUGGAAAAAUAAAGAUAUAUUUUAUUCAUUUUUAUAGUGUACCUAGCACUGCCCCUUACACACAGUUAACAUUUAUGUACUCACUAUGUACCAGACAUGAGUUUAAGAGUUUUAUGUGCAUUAUCUACCCAUCUUACAGAUUAGGAAAACAAAGUUGAGAGAGUUAAGCAACUUAUUCAAGACAGAAACACAGGGCUGGCUGACUCCAAAGGCUGUGUUGAGUAGAUACACAACAAAUAGGGUGAAAGAAUGAAAUAAUCAAUCUUUUUGCAGGGUUGCUUGGACUAAUAUAUAAAGAACACUACAGAACUGAAAAGUUGACAUUUAAACAUUUUCCUUUUUAUGACAGUUUUGUUUACCCCUUUUUCCUUAAUUACUAGUACAUUUCAUUUUAUGGACAUUUAAGAAAGUUGUACUUGCAAAUGACUGACACAUUUCUCAAUGCUGGUAGGUAAUCCUAUCGUUGGGAAUACACCUAACAAGGAUAAGGCAAGCAUACAAGUCCAGGGAUGUUACUGGACAUGUGCUGGUACACAAAAUAGUACUGACUGAAACUCUUACAUAUUUCUUUUUCUGAGUUGCUUGCAGAAAUAAAAGAAGUGUGGAUACUGAAAGCAUCUGACAUGUUGAUGACAACCUCUGUGAGAAGAUAAAAGGAUCACUUGAAGAGGCAACUGGUGGCAGCAUCUGACUUUCACUUGCAGUUUGACUACAUCUCGUGGUUGGUGCUUGUAAAGCAAUCUGAGAAUUAACAUCCUCCUUGGUAUGUGCUGUAGUGGGGAGUAUACGUGGACUUACAUCCAUUUUUGGAGGCACUACAGGUUUGUCAUCUGGGUUAACUGAAGAGCUAAAGUUCUCAGCAGAUUUUACAACUCCAGUUGGCUUGGUUUUAGGCAGUUUCUUGGAACGUUCAUAUUGUUCUUUGGCUUGAAGCCACACUUGGACCAGUUGUCGACUUGGGGCACAUUUGCAAGGCAUAAUCACGAUUUUUUUAUCUUCAACCAUCUUAGGGCUAUUACUUGACCCUUUAUUGACAACUCCUUGGCCACUGCGAAGAGGUGACCCUGGCCUUGGAUUCUGAGUCAUUGCUGAGAAUGCUGUUUUCCAAAGACGAAGUCCUUCCAAGGAAAAGUCUCCCUCAAACUCAGCCAGAUCAUUUGCAAGUCGAGUUUCUACCAUGAGGAGCCGUCCACCAAUCUCCCUAUAAACAGCAUAUUUUAGAACAACUGUUUUGUUUCAAAGAGCAAUUACUAAAAUAUUUAACUCCAUAUCCUAGAUAAAGUUCCUUUUGGAGUCUCAAAAAUGUCCAUUUCUAUCUUCCCUGCUCCCUCUAUUUUAUAUGCAGGUACACUCUAUCUUUAGUCUCAAUAUGCUUUUCCUCACAGGUAUAUGACUACUUAAUUUCCUUUGGAAGGUACCAUUAAUCUCAGGGAGCGAAGGUAUUUUUUGUUUUAUUUUAAUGCCCCAUGAAGCCUUCUGUCCUUCAAGGAGAUGAAACAAACUUUUCAGAUUCCUUUCCUCUCCUAAUCUUAAUUUUCCAUUAUUACCACAUAUGAAUAAAAACAAUAAAGUAAUUUAUCAUU